rnacentral:rRNA from 1 species
AUUGAACGCUGGCGGCAUGCUUUACACAUGCAAGUCGAGCGGCAGCGCGGGGCAACCCUGGCGGCGAGCGGCGAACGGGUGAGUAAUGCAUCGGAACGUGUCCCGUAGUGGGGGAUAACCCGGCGAAAGCCGGGCUAAUACCGCAUAUGCUCUACGGAGGAAAGGGGGGAUCCGCAAGGACCUCUCGCUAUGGGAGCGGCCGAUGUCCGAUUAGCUUGUUGGUGGGGUAAUGGCUUACCAAGGCGACGAUCGGUAGCUGGUCUGAGAGGAUGAUCAGCCACACUGGGACUGAGACACGGCCCAGACUCCUACGGGAGGCAGCAGUGGGGAAUUUUGGACAAAUGGGGGCGAACCCUGAUCCAGCCAUGCCG